rnacentral:rRNA from 1 species
AGUGAACGCUGGCGGUAGGCCUAACACAUGCAAGUCGAACGGCAGCACAGUAAGAGCUUGCUCUUACGGGUGGCGAGUGGCGGACGGGUGAGGAAUACAUCGGAAUCUACUUUUUCGUGGGGGAUAACGUAGGGAAACUUACGCUAAUACCGCAUACGACCUACGGGUGAAAGCAGGGGAUCUUCGGACCUUGCGCGAUUGAAUGAGCCGAUGUCGGAUUAGCUAGUUGGCGGGGUAAAGGCCCACCAAGGCGACGAUCCGUAGCUGGUCUGAGAGGAUGGUCAGCCACACUGGAACUGAGACACGGUCCAGACUCCUACGGGAGGCAGCAGUGGGGAAUAUUGGACAAUGGGCGCAAGCCUGAUCCAGCCAUACUGCGUGGGUGAAGAAGGCCUUCGGGUUGUAAAGCCCUUUUGUUGGGAAAGAAAAGCAGCAGGUUAAUACCCCGCUGUUCUGACGGUACCCAAAGAAUAAGCACCGGCUAACUUCGUG